rnacentral:rRNA from 1 species
AGCGAACGCUGGCGGCAGGCCUAACACAUGCAAGUCGAACGAACUCUUCGGAGUUAGUGGCGGACGGGUGAGUAACACGUGGGAACGUGCCUUUAGGUUCGGAAUAACUCAGGGAAACUUGUGCUAAUACCGAAUGUGCCCUUCGGGGGAAAGAUUUAUCGCCUUUAGACCGGCCCGCGUCUGAUUAGCUAGUUGGUGAGGUAACGGCCCCCCAAGGCGACGAUCAGUAGCUGGUCUGAGAGGAUGACCAGCCACACUGGGACUGAGACACGGCCCAGGCUCCUACGGGAGGCAGCAGUGGGGAAUCUUGCGCAAUGGGCGAAAGCCUGACGCAGCCAUGCCGCGUGAAUGAUGAAGGUCUUAGGAUUGUAAAAUUCUUUCACCGGGGACGAUAAUGACGGUACCCGGAGAAGAAGCCCCGGCUAACUUCGUGCCAGCCGCCGCAGUAAGAC